CUCAUUCACUCAACCAGCGAACCCCAUUUAUCCUUAAGAUCAAACCUUAAUCACUCACUCACCUCUCAUACGCCGCCCUCAUUCUAUCUCACUCCCUCUUCUCUCACCAUUUUUACCCAAUGAACCCCAACGGCAACUGGUGGUUCACCACCCUCUCUCCCAUCACUAAACCCCCACAUUUUCCCCUUUCUUUCUUCUCUAUCAGAUCUCUGGACCUUUCCCUAGUACGAGAGGACCGGGAAAGACGCACCUCUGGUGUACCAGUUAUCGUGCCCACGGUAAAUGAUGGGUAGCCAAGUGCGUAGCGGAGAAAUGCGGAGGUCUAUCACUUAUCCCGGUCAAAUUACUUUGGCCUUCAUAGGAUCUGGAAGAUCCUUUGGUUUUGUUAAAGAAACAGUCAAGAUUUGGUGAGCCAAAGCAUAUUCGAGAUGGAGCUUCAAAAAUGGGAGCGAACAGCCCUCAACGACUCCUUCUCCUCACAUCAAUCCCUUAAAAGAUAAGUAGAUGUGCAUGCGCCCUUCGUUUUCUUUGAUCCUGGAGAAUGACUGAUAAGGAUAUUGUUUUACUAUACAUGUUCUGGAGUAAAAAAAGUUCGAAUAUGACCUUUAUUGCUAGUAAAGUUAUGUGAUUGCAUGUUUGACAAACUCACCUAGAAGUUUAUUACCUGCCAAACUAGGGCACAGAGGAUUUAAUGAGUUUUGCAUGUCUUACUUGGUUGAUUGGAGCUUGCUGGCAUCUCAUAUGUGUAAUCACGGUUGUCCUCAUAGUAAUCCUGCCUUGGUUUCAAGAUAUCCUCCCAGAAAUUCUAAAUGCUUAUGUAUGUAUUAUGUUUGAGGCAUUUGAAACAUUGAUUUGUAAACCUUAGACCUAGAAUUAGAAGUUCUAUAAUCCGUGAUAGGUGUUCCUGUUGUGUAACAGUUUGUUUGAAAGACCUACUAGUUAGGAAAAUCUCGUGUUUAACUCCCCCAUGGAGGAAAAGGGGUUAGUGGCUACUGAUAUUCAUUAUAAAGAUUGAUUCUCAUCAAAGGAUAUCCUUCCUUGGCACAAGCACUGCUCUGGGUCCUUGAGACCCUUGUGAACUCUGAAGUGUCCGAGGUCUAAGGGAGAUCCUUUGAAAGCGUAAUGUGUUUAAGAAAUUCAGUAGUUCUUACUUUGCUAACCUUUGGGGAAUUAUUCACAAUUGUUUGGUUUAACUUACCUUGUUUAUCUGAUGCUACAAUUAUGCAUUACUUUGUCAUUGUAUUUCUGUCUUUACUUUUCUUAUCAAAUAAAAUCAAGUUAUCUCUUCCUUUA